rnacentral:lncRNA from 1 species
UCUCUGAGUCCCUGGCUUCUGGGAAAGCAAAGGGAUUUCUGGACUUGGCAGUGUAAGUUCAAGCUCUCAUGAUUUUAAGUUGGCUUCCCAUUAAAGGCCAGCAUGCUUAGCAUGUACGUAGGUCUCAUCACCAUCACCAGCACCUCCCAAAGUAGAACUCUGUUUGUCACAAGUGUCCAGAGGAGUGAAGGGAGCACAGGAAGAGACACGAGCCAGCCUCCCAGGUCCACUUGAAGACCACAAGAAGGCACCAGGACCC